UAUUAGGUUGGUGCCAAAGUAAUUGCAGUUUUUGCCAUUUAAAAAGUAAUGGCAAAAACUGCAAUUACUUUGGCACCAACCUAAUA
rfam:Pan troglodytes isolate Yerkes chimp pedigree #C0471 (Clint) chromosome 13, whole genome shotgun sequence.